rnacentral:miRNA from 1 species
CUUCCUAACGGGUAAGUUUAGAG